rnacentral:rRNA from 1 species
UCGAAGAGGGGGUAUGAAGUAGUAAAAGAAAACCCAUACAAUCGGUAACUCGUAAUAACUAUAGGGAUCACAUUAAAUGUGACAGAUCGUCUCGAUCCUGACAUAUCAGCUUUAGACGGUAGGGUACAUGCUUGCCGUGGCAAUGACGCGGUAACGUUGUAUUUAGGGUUUGUUUGAAUUUCACCUGCGUGAGAAACGGACACCAGCCCCCAACUGUCCAGCAGGCGCGCAAAUUACCCAAUCGUACCACAGGGAGGGAUAAAAAGAAAUAACAUUACAGGACUUGGAGUAUUUGUAAGCGGAAGCAGUUAAGUAUCAACCCCUUUUCAAGUAUCAAUAAUUUGGCAAAUUUGGAGCCAGCAGCCUCGGUAAUUCCAGCUUCAAUAGAGUAUUUCAAAGAAAUGCAGUUAAAAAGCUUGUACUGGGAUCUAAGUUAAUGAUUUUUAUAAAAAACAAUGAUGAAUAUUUAUAUAGGAGUAACAUAAUUCAUAGUAGUAGGCACCUUAGUAUCCGAACAUUUACUAUGAGAAAAUGGGAGUGCAUAAAGCUCGCAUCAGCCUCGAAUACUCCAGCACGGAAUAAUAUUAAAGAUGUCUUAUACCUCCCUGUGGUUGGUAAGAUAAGAAUGAGGAUUAAUAGGGACCGUUAGGGGCAGUAGCAUUUUACCGGGCUCCCUGUAAGGAUUAGAUCUGUAAUUCCAAGUUAAUGGUCAAGCAUACGCCAAGCCAAUACCCUUCCAUCAAAAACGAAAAGUUCAGAAACAGAAGAUCAGUCACAGUUAAUGUCUCCGUAAAGAAUUGGAAGAAGCAAAUACAACGUAAUG